AGGGAUUUAGGCUAACUCAAACCGAGGGCCUUCAAAGCCCUAAAUAAGAGACACCCCUCUUAAUCCCUG
rnacentral:tRNA from 1 species